UCUUCGGACCUUUACUUCACCCUGCCCUCUUUAAAUUUGUUUCAGGUAAGAUCAAAUGAAUUAUAAAAUCUUCAAAAAAGUGACUAUUAAUGCUUUCCCCAAAAUGUCCCCAAUUAGUUAAGCAUUUCUUCACUGGCCACUUCCCCAGAUCCUGUUCAUCUGACAUCUAUUUUCAAAUAAAACAGGAUUCUUUAGAACAGUAGGAAUUUCUCACACUGGUUUAUUGCAUAGGAUAAGAGAGUCAUAACUAUUUUUGUAACCAUAGAAGUAUCAUCAAAAUACAGAAUUAUUUGUAAUGCUAAUGAGAAUUUUCUUCACCAGGUAGUGCUGUUUGCAAAACAUCUGGUGUACCAUGCCAAAAAUACAUAGCAGCUGAAAGGCAGGAUGCAAACUUUGCCUCAGGAUCUUCUCCACCAGCCUCUGAAGGCUAAAAGCCAGAGAAGAGUACCCAGACAAGAGACCAGGUUCGCUGCUAUAAUCAGGCAGACACCACUAAGGAAAGACAUUCACGUCAAAGAUCUAUGAUUUGACGACCAAGUAGAGACAGAGGAUCUACAGAGCAAAAUAAACUGCCAGAGCCGAACGAUUCAAAGAAGUCGAUGACAUUACCCUUGGAUUCAAGCUCA